rnacentral:rRNA from 1 species
GUCGAACGGGGUAGCAAUACCUAGUGGCAGACGGGUGAGUAACAUGUGGGUAUCUUCCCUUUGGUGAGGAAUAACACGAGGAAACUUGUGCUAAUACCUCAUAAGUCUUUACGGAGAAAGCUUUAUGCGCCAAUGGAUGAGCCCGCACUUGAUUAGUUAGUUGGUAGGGUAAUGGCUUACCAAGACUUUGAUCAAUAGCUGAUUUGAGAGGAUGAUCAGCCACAUUGGGACUGAGGCACGGCCCAAACUCCUACGGGAGGCAGCAGUAGGGAAUCUUGCACAAUGGAGGAAACUCUGAUGCAGCGAUGCCGCGUGAGUGAAGAAGGCCCUUGGGUUGUAAAGCUCUUUCGUCGGGGAAGAAAAUGACUGUACCCGAAUAAGAAGGUCCGGCUAACUUCGUGCCAGCAGCCGCGGUAAUACGAAGGGACCUAGCGUAGUUCGGAAUUACUGGGCUUAAAGAGUUCGUAGGUGGUUAAAAAAGUUGGUGGUGAAAUCCCAGAGCUUAACUCUGGAACUGCCAUCAAAACUUUUUAGCUAGAGUAUGAUAGAGGAAGGCAGAAUUUCUAGUGUAGAGGUGAAAUUCGUAGAUAUUAGAAAGAAUACCGAUUGCGAAGGCAGCUUUCUGGAUCAUUACUGACACUGAGGAACGAAAGC